GGCUAGGUGGCGGAGUGGUUAACGCGGUAGACUCGAAUGAAUCGUGCAAUCUACUUCCUUCGGGAGCGUCUGUUCGAAUCAGGCCCUAGUCG
rnacentral:tRNA from 1 species